UCCCACCUGUUUUUUGAAUUAUGACGUUAUUCUCGUAAUAUUAUAGCUUUCUUCUGAGAGUCUGACGACAUUAUUCUCAUGAUAUUACGACUUCAUUCUCGUAAAAUUAUGACUCUUUGUAUUCGACUUUAUUCUCAUAAAAUAACAAGUUUUAUCUGGAUAUUUUCGGCUUUAGUCUCGCAGUGACAAGUGUUUUUAUUUUCUUAUGUGGCCCUAAUGUGCCGUCAAAGAAUAAUACAUUCAAAACA